CCAAUAGCGUAUAUUAAAGUUGUUGCAGUUAAAAAGCUCGUAGUUGAACUUCGGGAUCAAUGGAUCGGUCAUGCCAUCGGUAUGUACUGGUCUCAUUGGUUCUCACCUUCUAAGGAACCAUGAUGUCAUUCAUUUGAUGUUGUGGGGAAUUAGGACUGUUACCUUGAAAAAAUUAGAGUGUUUAAAGCAGGCUAACGCUUGAAUACAUUAGCAUGGAAUAAUGAAAUAGGACAUCGCAUUCUAUUUUGUUGGUUUCUAGGAUCGAUGUAAUGAUUAAUAGGGAUAGUUGGGGGCAUUAGUAUUCAAUUGUCAGAGGUGAAAUUCUUGGAUUUAUUGAAGACUAACUACUGCGAAAGCAUUUGCCAAGGAUGUUUUCAUUAAUCAAGAACGAAAGUUAGGGGAUCGAAGACGAUCAGAUACCGUCGUAGUCUUAACCAUAAACUAUGCCGACUAGGGAUCGGAUGAUGUUGAUUUUUUAAUGACUCAUUCGGCACCUUACG
rnacentral:rRNA from 1 species